rnacentral:lncRNA from 1 species
GUUUCCUUCCUGCUGGGGGGCUUCUGUUCUCCCAGACCGGGUCGGUGCUCUUUUCCCCCGGCGCCCCUCCCCCACCCAGCCCGGGCCUUGCCUGCCGCAGCCACCUUCUUCUCUGAUGCUGUGUCCUGGACUUGGUGACAAUGGCAAAUUGACAAGAAGGCGAGCCUGGGCCUUUCCUGCGGCGACAUCCAGCUUCCCCCGCCCCUCCCUGGGUGGGUGCCCACCACACGCCCAGCCUGCCGCGUGCUUAUCCAGGCCCUCCAGGCCAGGCCUCCGGGUCUUAUGGAAGAAGGCCCCGUGUCUGGGCAGUGCCGUGGCUGUGAGUGAGCAUCCGGGGCCAGUCAGAUGUGCCGUCUCCGGAGGUCACUUCCAUAGUGGCCAUCAACAGCUUGGCCAAACUCGGCCGCAGGAUCUUUUCCUAUCAAUUGCAGGAUGGACUCUUCCCGCAGCCAUGCGACCUGUGGCCCGCGGUCCUGCUCCCUGAGCUGGAGGAGGCUGAACAGAAUGAGCAGGGUCUCACUCUGUAGCCAAGACUGGAGUGCAGUGGCACAAUCUCGGCUCACCGCAACCUCCACUUCCCAGGCUCAAGUGAUUCUCCUGACUCAGCCUCCCGAGUAGCUGGGAUUACAGGUGUGCACCACCACGCCUGACUAAUUUUUGUAUUGUUAGUAGAGACGGGGUUUCACCAUGUUGGCCAGGUUGGUGUUGAACUCCUGACUUCAAAUGAUCCACCUGCCUUGGCCUCCCAAAGUGCUGGGAUUACAGGCCUGAGCCACUGCGCCCGGACUUUUUUUUUUUUUUGAGAUGGAGUUUCGCUCUGUCACCCAGGCUGGAGUGUGGUGGCAUGAUCUCGGCUCACUGCAACCUCCACCUCCCAGGGUCAAGUGAUUCUCCUGGGUCAGCCUCCGGAGUAGCUGGGAUUACAGGAAGUAUUUUUUGAUGCUCUUGCAUCUGGGGCUGACCCAACACUGCUCAUCCCAUGUGGUCAUUGCUGGCUUACAGGUCAGUCUGGCCCUUGCAUUCGAUGUUCUGUAAGGACAGAGCUCAUGGUGCUGGCUCUGAGAAGGAAACAGGAAGUGGCAGAUGGAAGGUUUUUCUUCCCAGGGUCUCCCCAAGAGCUGCUUCCUUUGACUCCUGCUGUGUGUAGUUCUGCUGACAAUGACCUGGACAGCUCUGCGCCAUGCACAGCGUCUCUUUUCUCCGACUUACCAAAUUUUAGACACUACUGACUCCUCCAUGUGAAAGAUGGGAAUUCAGCUACAUCACAUUACCCUACAAACUUUAUUGUUAAUAUUUCUUCCCGGUCAGCCCCAAACACUGAAUGUAAAUACGGUCCAACAUCAACCUGCAAACGAACACUGACAUGAAAGUGCAGUUGGAAAGGAUCUCGCAAAGGAACAGAAUCUGGUGAUCCUAAUCGUAAUGAACGUGAUCGCCGGGUAUUGAGAGCUUGCAGGUACCAGGGCUCCGGCACUACGUGUUUCACAGGGGCCACUCGGUAGACCUCUUGGUGACCUUGAGGUCAGGUACCACGUUCCCAUUUUACAGAGGAGGAAACUGAGAUAACCUACGACAGCGAAAAGGUAGCAGAGCUGGGACUGGUGCCCACCUACGCUCACUUGUGUCAUGUGGUUAAGCCCUUUUGGCAACAUAAGACCUUUCCCAAGAAUGUGCCUCGGUGCAGAGGAAGACGGUGGGGGCAGGCCCCCUCCCCGGGAUGCUCCACCCUCCCUGACCUCACACGGGUGCAACCUGGGCCGUGGCCGAGACCUGCUGUGUGGCAGACAAUGGGAAGCCUGUGUGUCGUCCUGGGUGCCGGAUUUAGACAAUAUUUAGCUUUCCCUUGGUGGAAAAGCCUUUCCCCUCCUGCUUUGGGCAGGAACUGGUUCCUGUUGGGCGGGGCCUGGCUGCUGCCCCACCCCCACCCGGCCGGGCACCUUGACCGGCAGCUCUCCGGGCUGCUCCCUGCCUGUGUCCCUGAGCACUGACUCCAGAGGUUUAAUCAUUAACGGGCACGUUUGGCCUUCGGUCGUGGGCUGGAAUUUGGGACCUGUGCCCGGGAACAAUGAUCUCCGACACAUUAUUUUGUGUAAAAUCACUUUUAGCUGCCAUUAGCUAAUAAAGCUGGAAUAAAGUGAGGUCCAU